AUUCUAAGGUGAGCGAGCGAACUCUCGUUAAGGAACUCGGCAAAAUGACCCCGUAACUUCGGGAGAAGGGGUGCUCUUUAGGGUUAACGCCCAGAAGAGCCGCAGUGAAUAGGCCCAAGCGACUGUUUAUCAAAAACACAGGUCUCUGCUAAACCGUAAGGUGAUGUAUAGGGGCUGACGCCUGCCCGGUGCUGGAAGGUUAAGAGGAGUGGUUAGCUUCUGCGAAGCUACGAAUCGAAGCCCCAGUAAACGGCGGCCGUAACUAUAACGGUCCUAAGGUAGCGAAAUUCCUUGUCGGGUAAGUUCCGACCCGCACGAAAGGCGUAACGAUUUGGGCACUGUCUCAACGAGAGACUCGGUGAAAUCAUAGUACCUGUGAAGAUGCAGGUUACCCGCGACAGGACGGAAAGACCCCGUGGAGCUUUACUG
rnacentral:rRNA from 1 species